CCAGAAAAGAAGCCCGAUGGGGGCGUGGGGCUACCCAAUAAAGGUUCCGUGUCCGGUUCCGUUUGCCGCACGCAGCGGGAAACGAGAGCGACAGGGAAGGUUCUGAGCGGCGGACUCUGGUGUUCACCUCGCCGCUUCUGGGCCGGUGCUAGCUCUGCAGUGGCAGCCGAACUCCCUGACAGCACUCGGCAGGUCACACCUUCACCGUGCUCCUGCAGGGGAACAAGAGCCUGAGCUCCCACCUCUCAGCUGUAGACAUCCUGAUUUGGCAUUGCCUUUGGGAGGAUGAAUCAGGACAGUGACUCAAGUGAUGAGACCACUGGUGAGUUUUCUGCUUUGUCCAAGUGUUUGCUUGUCUUCUCCUAUUGGUUCAGCAUGAUUUGUUUUCCAUUGAUUUUACUUGAUGCUACUGGAGGAGAAUGCUGAACCAGAAGUAGAGCAAAACAUGGGAACUCAACGCCAAAUGGCAUGCCAUGAAGUUUACUGGAUCUCUGAGGUUUCCUGGUCCACAUCAGCAUUCUUAAAAUUGUAUUCCAGGUUGAAAAUGUUUACAGCAGUUGUUUUUAUAACUUCUCACCAGCUCAGAAGAGCACAAAGAAUCCCAGAAUCCCAGACUGGUUUGGGUUGAAGGGAUCUUAAAGCUCAUCCAGCUCCAAACCCCUGCCAUGGGCAGGGACACCUUCCACUGGAGCAGC